AACGCGAAGAACCUUACCUGGGCUCGAACGGUCGACGACUCUCGGCGAAAGCCGGGUUUCCCGCAAGGGGCGGCGAUCGAGGUGCUGCAUGGCUGUCGUCAGCUCGUGUCGUGAGAUGUUGGGUUAAGUCCCGCAACGAGCGCAACCCUCGCCCUUAGUUGCCCUUUCCGGCUUGCCGGAAGGCACUCUAAGGGGACUGCCGCGGAUAACGUGGAGGAAGGUGAGGACGACGUCAAGUCAUCAUGGCCUUUAUGUCCAGGGCUACACACGUGCUACAAUGGACGGUACAAUCCGUUGCCAACCCGCGAGGGGGAGCCAAUCGGAAAAAACCGUCCUCAGUUCGGAUUGCAGUCUGCAACUCGACUGCAUGAAGCUGGAAUCGCUAGUAAUGGCGCAUCAGAACGGCGCCGUGAAUACGUUCCCGGGCCUUGUACACACCGCAUAC
rnacentral:rRNA from 1 species